rnacentral:rRNA from 1 species
CAGUCGCCACGGUAAUACGAAGGGGGCUAGCGUUGCUCGGAAUCACUGGGCGUAAAGGGUGCGUAGGCGGGUCUUUAAGUCAGAGGUGAAAUCCUGGAGCUCAACUCCAGAACUGCCUUUGAUACUGAGGAUCUUGGGUAUGGAAGAGGUGAGUGGAAUUCCGAGUGUAGAGGUGAAAUUCGUAGAUAUUCGGAGGAACACCAGUGGCGAAGGCGGCCAUCUGGGACAACACUGACGCUGAGGCACGAAAGCUAGGGGAGCAAACAGGAUUAGAUACCCCUGUAGUCCCUGUCUCUUAUAA